UAUUUGAUAAUCGAAAGUUACAUGGAUAACCGUGACAAAUUACAGCUAAUACAUGCAGUCAGACCUGGUUAAGGGUCGUAAUUAUUAGUACCAAACCAUUUCCGAAAGGAGUGUGAUGAUUCAUAGUAAUCGAACGAAUCGCAGAUCUUUGCGAUAAGUCAUUCAAGUUUCUGCCCUAUCAGCUUUGGAUGGUAGUGUAUUGGACUACCAUGGCAGUCACGGGUAACGGAGAAUUAGGGUUCGAUUCCGGAGAGGGAGCCUGAGAAACGGCUACCACAUCUACGGAAGGCAGCAGGCGCGAAAAUUGCCCAAUCCCGACACGGGGAGGCAGUGACAAGAAAUAACAACUCUAGGUUUUCUUAGAAGUGUAAUGAGGAUAAUUUACAAACCUUACCGAAUGCAAUUGGAGGGCAAGUCUGGUGCCAGCAGCCGCGGUAAUUCCAGCUCCAAUAGCGUAUAUUAAAGUUGUUGCAGUUAAAAAGCUCGUAGUUGAAGUUCUGAUUGCUCAGGUCCUCAGCCUUUAGGCGGGGAUACUGACAGUCAUCCGCUUGCAAGCAUAUGUUCGGCCUUAAACAGUCGGCUAUGUGAGUAAGCAUUUUACCUUGAGAAAAACAGAGUGUUCCAGGCAGGUUUGUCCGGGAUGCAUUAGCAUGGAAUAAUAGAACAUGACUGAAGUCUAUUUAUUGGUUUAAGGCUUUAGUAAUGAUUAAUAGGAACAGUCGGGGGCAUUCGUACUCAGCAGUCAGAGGUGAAAUUCUAAGAUUUGCUGAAGACGAACUAAUGCGAAAGCAUUUGCCAAGGAUGUUUUCAUUAAUCAAGAACGAAAGUUAGGGGAUCAAAGACGAUCAGAUACCGUCCUAGUCUUAACUAUAAACGAUACCGACUCGGAUUCAGAUGAAUCAUAAUGUUCAUUUGGGACCGUAGGAGAAAUCAAAGUCUUUGGGUUCUGGGGGGAGUAUGGUCGCAAGGCUGAAACUUAAAGGAAUUGACGGUUUUGCACCACCAUGGAGUGGAGUCUGCGGCUUAAUUUGACUCAACACUGGGAAACUCAUCAGGGCAAGAAGAUUUUAGGAUUGACAGAUGAGAGUUCYUUCCUGAUUGGUCUAGUGGUGGUGCAUGGCCGUUCU
rnacentral:rRNA from 1 species